rnacentral:rRNA from 1 species
UGGGGAAUUUUGGACAAUGGGCGCAAGCCUGAUCCAGCAAUGCCGCGUGCAGGAUGAAGGCCUUCGGGUUGUAAACUGCUUUUGUACGGAACGAAAAGCCUCUCUCUAAUACAGGGGGGUGAUGACGGUACCGUAAGAAUAAGCACCGGCUAACUACGUGCCAGCAGCCGCGGUAAUACGUAGGGUGCAAGCGUUAAUCGGAAUUACUGGGCGUAAAGCGUGCGCAGGCGGUUUUGUAAGACAGUGGUGAAAUCCCCGGGCUCAACCUGGGAACUGCCAUUGUGACUGCAAGGCUGGAGUGCGGCAGAGGGGGGAUGGAAUUCCGCGUGUAGCAGUGAAAUGCGUAGAUAUGCGGAGGAACACCGAUGGCGAAGGCAAUCCCCUGGGCCUGCACUGACGCUCAUGCACGAAAGCGUGGGGAGCAAACAGGAUUAGAUACCCUGGUAGUCCACGCCCUAAACGAUGUCAACUGGUUGUUGGGGAUUUAUUUCUUC